CUACGUGCCAGCAGCCGCGGUAAUACGUAGGGGGCAAGCGUUAUCCGGAAUAACUGGGCGUAAAGGGUGCGCAGGUGGUUUAACAAGUUAGUGGUGAAAGGCAUAGGCUCAACCAAUGUAAGCCAUUAAAACUGUUUAACUUGAGUSCAGGAGAGGAAAGUGGAAUUCCUAGUGUAGCGGUGAAAUGCGUAGAUAUCAGGAAGAACACCGGUGGCGAAGGCGGGUCUCUGGGCCGUUACUGACGCUGAGGAGCGAAAGCGUGGGGAGCGAACAGGAUUAGAUACCCUGGUAGUCCACGCCGUAAACGUUGGGCACUAGGUGUGGGGGGCCUUUUCCGGGUUUUCCGCGCCGUAGCUAACGCAUUAAGUGCCCCGCCUGGGGAGUACGGCCGCAAGGCUAAAACUCAAAGGAAUUGACGGGGGCCCGCACAAGCGGCGGAGCAUGCGGAUUAAUUCGAUGCAACGCGAAGAACCUUACCAAGGCUUGACAU
rnacentral:rRNA from 1 species